AUGCCGCUGCCCUUCGGCUCUCUGGUCGUCGCCGCCGGGAUCUGCGGGACCCUGAGUUUCGCUUCUCUCGCCGCGUCCCUCGGAACCGAGUACUGGUUCAUAAUCGAGAUGAAUCCCGCGAACGCGAGCGACGCGGAGGACUGGAGCUCCCACUCGGGACUGUGGAGCGUCGGCGAGGGUGAGAAGAUGAAGGCAGAAGACUCCGCCACGUACUCCGAGAGCGAGCACGGCAUGCACAGUGCCAUCGUGGUGGUGCUGCCCCUCAGCCUGGUCCUGAUGCUGUUCGGGGGGAUCUGUGGACUCGUCAGCUCUCUGGCUCGGAGCCCCGUCCUGCUCGCGCGCACCGCCACCUACUUCUUCCUCUGCAGUGAGUCGAGGUCCAGUUCCUUCCCUCGUCCCAUCAGCUCCACUGGGGCUGACCAGAGCCGCCGUGUGCAGCAUCAGACCCGGAGACCCGGGAAAUGCGUCUCGAUCGAUGCAUCACUCUCCACUCGUACGACCUCUAACACACUGAUCAUAUUACGCAGGGAAGUGGAACUUAUUGGGCUGCAGGAGAGCGAGGUCAUGUGGUUAGUUCGUGCGGGCCUGAAGUCACCUCACUCCAAGGUGCUGACCUCCUGCGGCCAAAGGGCACCACAGAUUGAUUGAUUAGGUCAUAUUGAUGUGUUGAUAGCAUGCAGGUGUGUGUGUGUG
ensembl:lncRNA